AAAGAUUGCACAACGUAUCUGGAAAUCUAGACAUACUUCUUUUAUAUGAAGGAGCCUUAAAUGGAAAAGGAAAGCAAGGAUCCCUUUUGUUUGAAACCACAUGCUGCAUGUUAUUCAAAUUAACUUGAUCAUCAGCAACCACACAACAAUGUAAAGUGAAUGCAAAUUUUGCAUUACUUAGGGCAGGUUUUAACAUGUUCAGGGGUGGUAAUGUUUUUUGACCAGUAGAAUUUAAACGAUUAAUAUAUUUACUUAGAUAUGGUUAGCUUUGGAUUUUGACUAUUUUCUUUUGGUCUGGUUAUUUUAACUUCUAAUGCCAGCUGUUCUAUUAUGAUAUAUGCAGUUUGCACUUGCUCUAAACUGGCCCGAUUAUCUAAAGACAAAGCAUCCUAUUAUUUAGGAUAACCUACAAAUAUCAUAUAACCACCACUUUGACCAAGUUUAAUGGUCUUAAUUAGUAUUAUAACAAUUAUAAUAAAGAAUUAACAUCUACACCUAAAUAUAUAUUGUCCUUGAAAGCUUUACACCCUUGCUAACGUACGAUUGCAAGAGUUUAAGCUUAACCUUAUUGAUGUAUUGCUUCCGUUCUCUCAUUCAUGAGUGUAAGAAAUAUAUUUUUUCUUUAGUUCCUUGAUCUGAUUCUAGAAUUAUUUAGUAGGGCCAUGCUGGGGUAGCUAUAGCAUUUGGAUAUCUUUGUAAAUGCUAGCUUGCCUACUUGUGUUAUCAAGAGUAUCUUUUGGAUUUGCACUUCCCAUCACUUGGUUAUGACCUGCCUUAUGGGCUAUGUCUUCGUCACCAUAUUCUUCUAAUGAUUAAAGCUGAAUACUUUCCUAAUAGGCUUUUGUAUGAUCUAUGAAAGCAAUGGAGAUAUUCUAUCAAACAAAAU